GUGCUCAUUUUGGCAGCACAUCUAUUAAAACUGGAACAAUACAGAGAAAAAUAGCAUGGCCCCCCGACUGACAGGCAAAUUUGUGAAGUGGUCCAUAUUUUU
ensembl:snRNA U6 U6 spliceosomal RNA